AACGAACGCUGGCGGCAGGCUUAACACAUGCAAGUCGAACGCGUGUAGCAAUACACGAGUGGCGCACGGGUGAGUAACACGUGGAUAUCUGCCUUUUGGUUCGGGAUAACCCUGGGAAACUAGGGCUAAUACCGGAUGGUUCCUAAGGGAUAAAGAUUUAUCGCCAAAAGAUGAGUCCGCGUCCGAUUAGCUAGUUGGUGAGGUAAUGGCUCACCAAGGCGACGAUCGGUAGCUGGUCUGAGAGGACGAUCAGCCACACUGGGACUGAGACACGGCCAAGACUCCUACGGGAGGCAGCAGUGGGGAAUAUUGGACAAUGGGGGCAACCCUGAUCCAGCCAUGCCGCGUGAGUGAUGAAGGCCUUCGGGUUGUAAAGCUCUUUUGGCGGGGACGAUUAUGACGGUACCCGCAGAAUAAGCCCCGGCUAACUUCGUGCCAGCCGCCGCGGUAACAC
rnacentral:rRNA from 1 species